rnacentral:rRNA from 1 species
AACGAACGCUGGCGGCAUGCCUAACACAUGCAAGUCGAACGAGACCUUCGGGUCUAGUGGCGCACGGGUGCGUAACGCGUGGGAACCUGCCCUUAGGUUCGGAAUAACUCCCCGAAAGGGGUGCUAAUACCGGAUAAUGUCUUCGGACCAAAGAUUUAUCGCCUUUGGAUGGGCCCGCGUUGGAUUAGCUAGUUGGUAGGGUAAAAGCCUACCAAGGCGACGAUCCAUAGCUGGUCUGAGAGGAGGAUCAGCCACACUGGGACUGAGACACGGCCCAGACUCCGACGGGAGGCAGCAGGGGGGAAUAGGGGACAAGGGGCGAAAGCCGGAUCCAGCAAUGCCGCGGGAGUGAUGAAGGCCUUAGGGUUGUAAAGCUCGGUUACCCGGGAGGAGAAUGACAGUACCGGGAGAAUAAGCGCCGGCUAACUCCGUG